rnacentral:snRNA from 1 species
AAAAUAUUUUUAAAAAUAAAAUUGGAAAGACACAGAGAAGAUUAGAGUGUCCCUUGCAUAAGGAUGACAUGCUAAUCUGUGAAGUUUUCCAUACUUUU